rnacentral:misc_RNA from 1 species
ACUGGGGUAGUACCUCGACCUUACAGAAGAUCACAGCAAAAUAAUACUGUAUUCAAGCAGUAUUGUGUUCCUGUUGGUGAGUAAGGUGACCAGAGCUCCUGGAGGGAUUGGGGAUUGGGUCGGCAAUACGCUUGCGAUGCUUCUGGUGUUGCAGGUGUCUAUAAGCUAAGGUAAUCGCUUACCAUCAGGUGAGCCGUACGCUUGUUUGCCGA